rnacentral:rRNA from 1 species
AGAGUUUGAUCCUGGCUCAGGAUAAACGCUGGCGGCGCACAUAAGACAUGCAAGUCGAACGGACUUAAUCGAAAUAUUUAUAUUUUGAAGCGGUUAGUGGCGGACUGGUGAGUAACGCGUAAGGAACCUGCCUAUUAGAGGGGAAUAACAGUGAGAAAUCAUUGCUAAUACCGCAUAUGCCAUAGAUAUCACAUGAUAACAGUGGGAAAGGAGCAAUCCGCUAAUAGAUGGUCUUGCGUCUGAUUAGAUAGUUGGUGGGGUAACGGCCUACCAAGUCGACGAUCAGUAGCCGGACUGAGAGGUUGAACGGCCACAUUGGGACUGAGAUACGGCCCAGACUCCUACGGGAGGCAGCAGUGGGGAAUAUUGCACAAUGGGGGAAACCCUGAUGCAGCGACGCCGCGUGAGUGAAGAAGUAUUUCGGUAUGUAAAGCUCUAUCAGCAGGGAAGAAAAUGACGGUACCUGACUAAGAAGCACCGGCUAAAUACGUGCCAGCAGCCGCGGUAAUACGUAUGGUGCAAGCGUUAUCCGGAUUUACUGGGUGUAAAGGGAGCGUAGACGGAUGGGCAAGUCUGAUGUGAAAACCCGGGGCUCAACCCCGGGACUGCAUUGGAAACUGUUCAUCUAGAGUGCUGGAGAGGUAAGUGGAAUUCCUAGUGUAGCGGUGAAAUGCGUAGAUAUUAGGAGGAACACCAGUGGCGAAGGCGGCUUACUGGACGGUAACUGACGUUGAGGCUCGAAAGCGUGGGGAGCAAACAGGAUUAGAUACCCUGGUAGUCCACGCCGUAAACG